rnacentral:rRNA from 1 species
UACGAAGGUUGCAAGCGUUACUCGGAAUUACUAGGCGUAAAGGGCAGGUAGGUGGUUUGGUAAGUCUAUUGUGAAAGCUCCCGGCUUAACUGGGAGAGGCCAAUGGAUACUGCCAAGCUUGAGUAUAGGAGAGGUUACUGGAAUUCCCGGUGUAGCGGUGAAAUGCGCAGAUAUCGGGAGGAACACCAAUGGCGAAAGCAGGUAACUGGACUAUUACUGACACUCAACUGCGAAAGCUAGGGGAGCAACAGG